CCAAAGUGCAAAUUUGGAGACGCACCCUGAGAGGUGCCGGGGCUUCUCCCCC
rnacentral:tRNA from 1 species